GAACGCACAUUGCGCCCGUCAGUAUUCUGACGGGCAUGCCUGUCCGAGCGUCAUUUCAACCCUCAAGCACCGCUUGGCGUUGGCGGAUUGCGUGCCCUCGCGGCGCUGCAACCGCCCAAAUACAGUGGCGGUCCCGCUGCGGCUCCCUUUGCGUAGUAACUCACCUCGCACUGGACCGGGCGGCGGCCUGCCGUAAAACCCCAACUUACGAAAUGUUGACCUCGGAUCAGGUAGGAAUACCCGCUGAACUUAAG
rnacentral:misc_RNA from 1 species